AUGGCCCAACCAUCCCCCAUGAAGAGGAAGCUGCACCCUGGGCCUCCCCUCGAGCAUCUACAGAUGGCCUGGGUCAGGGUGUGUCUGGAGGGGUUUUUGUGCGGGUCUAUGUCACGGUGUGAAUUAUUUGGAGGAGGGACCCGGCUGACCGUCCUUGGUCAGCCCAAGGCCGCCCCCUCGGUCACUCUCUUCCCGCCCUCCUCUGAGGAGCUCAAAGACAACAAGGCCACACUGGUGUGUCUGAUGAGUGACUUCUACCCGGGCGCCGUGACGGUGGCCUGGAAGGCAGACGGCACACCCGUCACCCAGGGCGUGGAGACCACCAAGCCCUCCAAACAGAGCAACAACAAGUACGGGGCCAGCAGCUUCCUGACCCUGUCGCCCCAGCAGUGGAAUUCCCACAAAAGCUACAGCUGCCAGGUCACGCACGAAGGGAGCACCGUCGAGAAGACAGUGGCCCCUGCAGAGUGUUCUUAG